rnacentral:misc_RNA from 1 species
GAUGAAGAACGCAGCGAAAUGCGAUAAGUAAUGUGAAUUGCAGAAUUCAGUGAAUCAUCGAAUCUUUGAACGCACAUUGCGCCCCCUGGUAUUCCGGGGGGCAUGCCUGUCCGAGCGUCAUUACAACCCUCAAGCUCAGCUUGGUGUUGGGCCCCGCCGCCCCGGCGGGCCCUAAAGUCAGUGGCGGUGCCGUCCGGCUCCGAGCGUAGUAAUUCUUCUCGCUCUGGAGGUCCGGUCGUGUGCUCGCCAGCAACCCCCAAUUUUUUUCAGGUUGACAUCGGAUCAGGUAGGGAUACCCGCUGAACUUAAUCAUAUCAAAAGCGGAGGA